GACGAACGCUGGCGGCGUGCUUAACACAUGCAAGUCGAACGGAAAGGCCCUGCUUUUGUGGGGUGCUCGAGUGGCGAACGGGUGAGUAACACGUGAGUAACCUGCCCUUGACUUUGGGAUAACUUCAGGAAACUGGGGCUAAUACCGGAUAGGAGCUCCUGCUGCAUGGUGGGGGUUGGAAAGUUUCGGCGGUUGGGGAUGGACUCGCGGCUUAUCAGCUUGUUGGUGGGGUAGUGGCUUACCAAGGCUUUGACGGGUAGCCGGCCUGAGAGGGUGACCGGCCACAUUGGGACUGUGAUACGGCCCAGACUCCUACGGGAGGCAGCUGUGGGGAAUAUUGCACAAUGGGCGGAAGCCUGAUGCAGCAACGCCGCGUGCGGGAUGACGGCCUUCGGGUUGUAAACCGCUUUCGCCUGUGACGAAGCGUGAGUGACGGUAAUGGGUAAAGAAGCACCGGCUAACUACGUG
rnacentral:rRNA from 1 species